UCUAGCCCUAAUCCAAAACUAACGCCUCUUCCUCACUUCACAAAAAAUACGCCUCACUUCAUAAAAAUUGCACAAUUCUCUCAUUCUGCCUCCCUCCCUCCAUUCUUUCCGGCGACUCAAACAUCCGGCGACUCCAUUUCUCCUGCGACUCUAUUUCUGAUUCAAGAAGGUAAGAGGCUGGCAGAGGAGAGAGGGCAGAAUGGCAGAAGAUCUGGAUCGGUUUUCGGAUCAGACCAGGUUGAGGCCAAAUGGGACUACGUCGCGUCUCACUGCAGACGAAAUGGAGUGAGCAGAGGGCCGAUCCAAUGCCGGAAAAGAUGGAGCAAUCUACUCAGUGAUUUCAAGAAGAUACGGACAUGGGAUUCCCGUGUGCCACAAGAAGAAGACAGUCUUUUUGGGAUAUGAGGAGUGAUUCUAGGUGGGACAACAUAAGGAUAAUUAAGUAAUUAAAUAAAAUUAAUGAGGAUAAUUUUGACAA